rnacentral:rRNA from 1 species
GACGAACGCUGGCGGCGUGCUUAACACAUGCAAGUCGAGCGGAGCGGCGAACGGGUGAGUAACGCGUGAGUAACUGCCCCCCUCUCUGGGAUAACAGUUGGAAACGGCUGCUAAUACCGGAUAGUGGGGGAUGACUCGCGUCCUAUCAGCUUGUUGGUGGGGUAGUGGCCUACCAAGGCGACGACGGGUAGCCGGCCUGGGAGGGCGACCGGCCACAUUGGGCUGAGAUACGGCCCAAAGUGCGACGGGAGGCAGCGGUGGGGAAUAUUGCACAAUGGGGGAAACCCUGAUGCGGAAGCGCCGCGUGCGGGAUGACGGCGUGCGGGUGGUAAACCGGGUUCAGCCAUGACGCGGUAGUGGCAGAAGAAGCACCGGCUAACUACGUGCCAGCAGCCGCGGUAAUUC